CAGUAGCCACGGGAAUACGUAGGUGGCAAGCGUUGUCCGGAAUUAUUGGGCGUAAAGGGCUCGCAGGCGGUUUCUUAAGUCUGAUGUGAAAGCCCCCGGCUCAACCGGGGAGGGUCAUUGGAAACUGGGAAACUUGAGUGCAGAAGAGGAGAGUGGAAUUCCACGUGUAGCGGUGAAAUGCGUAGAGAUGUGGAGGAACACCAGUGGCGAAGGCGACUCUCUGGUCUGUAACUGACGCUGAGGAGCGAGAGCGUGGGGAGCGAACAGGAUUAGAUACCCCUGUAGUCCCUGUCUCUUAUAA
rnacentral:rRNA from 1 species